rnacentral:rRNA from 1 species
GAUGAACGCUGGCGGCGUGCCUAAUACAUGCCAGUCGAGCGAACAGACGAGGAGCUUGCUCCUCUGACGUUAGCGGCGGACGGGUGAGUAACACGUGGAUAACCUACCUAUAAGACUGGGAUAACUUCGGGAAACCGGAGCUAAUACCGGAUAAUAUAUUGAACCGCAUGGUUCAAUAGUGAAAGACGGUUUUGCUGUCACUUAUAGAUGGAUCCGCGCCGCAUUAGCUAGUUGGUAAGGUAACGGCUUACCAAGGCAACGAUGCGUAGCCGACCUGAGAGGGUAAACGCCCACACUGGAGCUGAGGGACGGGCCAGACUCCUACAGGGAGCAGCAGUAGGGAAUCAUCCGCGAUGGGCGAAAGCCGGACGGAGCAACGCCGCGGGAGUGAUGAAGUUCUUCGGAUCGUAAAACUCUGUUAUUAGGGAAGAACAAAUGUGUAAGUAACUAUGCACGUCUUGACGGUACCUAAUCAGAAAGCCACGGCUAACUACGUG